GAAAUGAGAUAAGUAAUGUGAAUUGCAGAAUUCAGUGAAUCAUCGAAUCUUUGAACGCACCUUGCGCUCCUUGGUAUUCCUUGGAGCAUGCCUGUUUGAGUAUCAUGAAAUCUUCAAAGUAAAUCUUUUGUUAACUCAAUUGGUUUCUACUUUGGUAUUGGAGGUCUUUGCAGCUUCACACCUGCUCCUCUUUGUUCAUUAGCUGGAUCUCAGUGUUAUGCUUGGUUCCACUCGGCGUGAUAAGUUAUCUAUCACUGAGGACACUGUAAAAGGUGGCCAAGGUAAAUGCAGAUGAACCGCUUCUAAUAGUCCAUUGACUUGGACAAUACUUUUAUGAUCUGAUCUCAAAUCAGGUAGGACUACCCGCUGAACUUAAGC
rnacentral:misc_RNA from 1 species